rnacentral:rRNA from 1 species
AUUGAACGCUGGCGGCAGGCCUAACACAUGCAAGUCGAACGAGUGGCGGACGGGUGAGUAAUGUCUGGGAAACUGCCCGAUGGAGGGGGAUAAAUACUGGAAACGGUAGCUAAUACCGCAUACCAUCGGAUGUGCCCAGAUGGGAUUAGCUAGUAGGGGGGGUAACGGCCCACCUGGGCGACGAUCCCUAGCUGGUCUGAGAGGAGGACAGGCCACACAGGAACUGAGACACGGUCCAGACUCCUACGGGAGGCAGCAUGGGGGAUUAUUGCACAAUGGGCGCAAGCCUGAUGCAGCCAUGCCGCGUGUAUGAAGAAGGCUUUCGGGUUGUAAAGUACUUUCAGCGGGGAGGCGUUACCCGCAGAAGAAGCACCGGCUAACUCCGUGCCAGCAGCCGCGGUAAUAC